rnacentral:lncRNA from 1 species
UCAGUACAUCAUAAUAAAACAUAGUCUCAUAAAAAAACAUAGUCAUAAUAAAACAUGUGUGCACAAACAUAGUCUCAGUGCAUCAUAAUAAAACAUAGUCUCAUAAUAAAACAUAGUCUCAGUGUACACGACCAAUGUCAAACAUAGUCUCAGUGCAUAAUAAUAAAACAUAUAGUUUCAACAUACACGACCUAAAAGCAAACGCCAUCUUGAUGUUUCAGUUCUUCUGGCGACCACUUGUUGAUGAAAAUCCCUUGUGUAUCACCUGUUGAUGAGAAAACUUAGACAAAUGUAUAUAUAUUCAAUUCCUCUAUAUUCAGUUCAAUAUCCAAUUUGGAGACCCUCUGUAUUUGGGGACAUGAAAGCCUUUAUAUUUAGUUCAAUAUUCAGUAAUAAAGAGAAGACAUUGCUGAACUGAAUUCAGAUGUUUAUGAAGCACCUGGUUAAACAUCUGUAAUAAAGAGAAGGUAUUGCUUGAACUAAAUUCAGAUUGUCAACAUACUCUGAAAACUGAAUUGGAUCAGCACAUCUGUAAUAAAGAGAAGACAUUGCUGAACUGGAACAAAGGUGUGGAUUUAGAUGUUUAUGAAGCACUUGCUUAUGUAAACAUAAAUAGCUGAACUCAAAUAGCGGCAUAUUUUACUAGAAACAAAAUUGAAAUAGCAGAUUUAAGCAAUUAAACAAUAGAGGUAACUAAAUAGCAGAUUUUACUAGCAAAAAAACUGAAAUAGCAGAUUUAAGCAAGUAAAAAAUGUUGUAGAAAUUGAGUGAUUUAUAUAACUACCUGCUUGUGAAUCUCGUCCCUAAGCCACAACAAUCGGACACAUUGUUGGUAACUAAAUAGCAGUCCUCGCAGCUACCUGCUUGUAGAAAUUUCUCUAAUUUUUUGUGCACCACUACGACAAGAAGUGUGUACUGGCCUCUUUUCAGAAUAAAGGGAAGCAUAUAUAGCUGGAACUAACACAAAAAAUAACUCAUCAUCAUCAUCCUCCUCCUGUUUCAAAUGUUUCCUUAUCAACUCAAUUUUAGAACCUAUUUGUUAGUAUCCCUAAAACAAGAGAACAUGUCUGAGAAAUAUAACAAGAAGUGUGUACGUUUCUACAAGAAAUAUGACAAGAAAUAUGUCCUUUUUUCCUACAAAAACAUAAUUAUUUUUUAGAGCCGUGUAUGUUUCUACAUAAAUUAACCUUUGCUUUGUUGCACCAAUCUACUGCUUCCGUAUAAUUAUUAAAAAUCCACAGUGAACCGCAGUGUGCACAAUCAAUUAUUAAAAAUUUGAAUACAAUGAACCGCAGUGUGCACAAUCAAAUAUUAAAAAUCUGAAUAGUACAUUCUCCAUCUACUGCUUCCGUACUAGAAUAAUUAUCGCUACAAUACUUAUAUCAGCCCAAUCUCUAGAUGAUUCACUCCCUGGUCAGCGAUGUUUACCUGGUCGGCGAUGUAGCAGCGGCUGGUCCACGCACGGUGCUGCGUCCACGGAAGCCACGGGCGGCGUCUGGUCCACGGAAGCCACGGGCGGUGUCUGGUCCACGCGCGGUGCUGCGCUUGGUCGGCGAUGUAGUGGGUGAGUGAGGUGGAGGUGGACGGAAGCCACGGGCAGCGGACGGAGGCGGCAAGGUGCCUGUAGGCGAAGGCGGCGGCCUGGGUGUCUUGGAGAGGCGAGACCGCGAGAGGCGAGGGUUUCCAGCCCGACCUCGUGAGGCUAGGCCAGAUAGCCCCUUCCUCUCCCGUGGAUUCGGCCGGGAUAAUGGGCUGCCAAG